UCCAAUUUAACUGGGCAUCCUGUAUUUGAUCUGAUGAGUCUUCCUUUGAGGGCAGGGAUCUGGGACUUCAGUCUUUCUUCAUCUACCUCUUUCCUCCCUCGUCCAUAUCACUGCCACACUCAGACCCACCGUGCCUAGCACAGUGGCUUUCAAAGAUCCUGAGGGACUCCAUUUAAUGAAAACCAUCCUCUUUCAGGCUAAGCACUUAGCUCCCACCGAGGCUGAGGAGGCAAACAUGUAAAUUGAUUCAUUUCACUAUAUUCUGAUACCCGCUAACGAACGGCAGGAUGAGCCAAGCGCCGCGAGGAUCUCAGGCAGGGAGCCCCUCAGCCUUCAGAAUAGCAACUGGAACGGCUUCCCGGAGGAUGGGAUCCCCAGGAUCCAGUGUCUACCCUUCUCCACCCAGCUGUGUGCACUGGGGGCUGACCUGGUCUUCCUUUUGGCAAAUGGCCAGUGGGAGGUACAAGCAGGAGAUCUGCCAAUCAGGUAAGGGUGAAACUGGGUAUUUAUUCCCCUGACUCCCUUCCUGUAGGGACAAGGUAGAUUGCCAGGGUCUUAAUACUGUGAGUCAUAUAGCUCUUGUUGUCUGUU
rnacentral:lncRNA from 1 species